GUCCCUGUACCUCAUCUGGAUAGAGGGUCCGCCUCCUAAGCGGAACGUAGUUGGUUCGAGUCCAAUCAGGGACGCCA
rnacentral:tRNA from 2 species